UACGGAGGAUGCAAGCGUUAUCCGGAAUGAUUGGGCGUAAAGCGUCCGCAGGUGGCGAUGUAAGUCUGCUGUUAAAGAGCGAGGCUCAACCUCAUAAGAGCAGUGGAAACUACAUAGCUAGAGUACGUUCGGGGCAGAGGGAAUUCCUGGUGUAGCGGUGAAAUGCGUAGAGAUCAGGAAGAACACCAGUGGCGAAGGCGCUCUGCUAGGCCGUAACUGACACUGAGGGACGAAAGCGAGGGGAGCGAAUGGG
rnacentral:rRNA from 1 species